rnacentral:tRNA from 1 species
GCCUUCAUAGCUCAAUGGAUAGAGCAUCUCACUCCUAACGAGACGAUCUUGGUUCGAUUCCAGGUGAAGGCA